UGAGGAAUAUUGGGCAAUGCCCGCAAGGGUGACCCAGCAACGCCGCGUGGAGGAUGAAUGUCGUAAGAUUGUAAACUCCUGUUAGAGGGGAAGAAUAGUACCGGUUGGACCGGUAUAUGACCGUACCCUCAGAGAAAGCCCCGGCUAACUACGUGCCAGCAGCCGCGGUAAUACGUAGGGGGCAAGCGUUGUCCGGAUUUACUGGGUGUAAAGGGCGCGCAGGCGGGAUAAAAGUCAGUGGUGAAAUCCUACAGCUUAACUGUAGAACUGCCUUUGAUACUUUUAUUCUUGAGUUCGGGAGAGAGAGACGGAAUUCCAGGUGUAGUGGUGAAAUACGUAGAUAUCUGGAAGAACACCAGUUACGAAGGCGGUCUCUUGGUCCGACACUGACGCUGAGGCGCGAAAGCGUGGGGAGCAAACA
rnacentral:rRNA from 1 species